CGAUUCGAUACGAUACGAUACGAUACGAUAGCGGUGGUCAGAAAAAUAAUAUUUGAAAAAGUGUUAUUUUUCUCACCCACAAAGAACGUAGGGAAAGAAAUAAUACUUGAAAAUCUGUGUUGUUUAUUUCUCAAAGGUGCGCUACGACAAGACACGAUACGACCCGAUAGGAUACGAUAUGAUACGAUACGAUACGAUACGAUACGAUACGAUACGAUAGCGGUGGUCAGAAAAAUAAUAUUUGAAAAAGUGUUAUUUUUCUCACCCACAAAAAACAUAGAGAAAGAAAUAAUACUUGAGAGAAUUUCGAAUUUUCUUACCUCGGCCACGAAAUGAUCCGUUUGAAAAAAAAUAUUAGAAAUCUGGCAGCCAAAAAAAAAAAAAAAAAUGGGCGAAAAUUGAAAUUAUGGUAAAAAAAAGGAAAUAUGCGGUGGUGCAUGAGACGAAUAAUAUUUGUUAAAUUUGUUAAAUUGUGUAUUUUUCUCACCCACAAAAAUACAACUAUGAUUCCAGCUUGAAACUCAAGAGCGAGAACAUACCUUUUAAAAUCAGUAAUAUUUUUACUGCAAAAAAAUUUAAACGAAAUAAAGGACAGACAAUAAAAAAUCGUUGCGAAUUUAUUUUAUUGGAAAAGUAAAACGGUAGUGAUGAGAAAACCAAUCUCAGGACAUGUCAUGUGUCACCUUCACAAGAUUUAGUUCAGCCGUGUCUAAUAAUGUUUAAUUAAACAGUAAGUCCGAUCUAUAAAUGCAUCGGCAGGGAUCCCUGUGGCUUUAUGCCACCUUCGAAAGGUUUUUUUCCAGCCUGUCUUGAAUUUUAAACAGUAAGUCCGAUAUUCAACGAUCGGCAGUUACACUUCUGAUAUUUAUCUCCCUCAAGAGCUUUUUAAAGUCUUAUCUAAAACCAAAGACAGUGACUCUAUUUAUGGCAUUGUGCCAUCUCCAAAAGUAAUUCUUAGUCAUGUUUUGCAUUAGAAAAAAAGUAAGUCCGAUCUUCAAUGAUUGGCAUGGAUACUUGUGGCAUUAUGUCACCUGUAGUUAUAUUCUUAACUUGCCUUCGAUUUAAACUGAGACCAGUCUGCAACGAUUGGCGGAACGUGUACGAUAUUAUUUUGCCAUUGGUAGUCAUGCAUAUAUGUAUUUGUAUAUAGUUUGAUUGAUUUAUGUAGGUUUUUUUUUUACCUUUUUCUCUUGAUACACUUGUUUUCUUCUUUCCUUUCCUCAUAACAACUAUUUUGUUGGUUGGGAUUUUAAUAAAAUUAAGUGUUUUCUAACCAUCUGUAGAGAUACAGUGUGACCUAGCUAAGCUGGGUCGAGUUUUCUUUCUCCCUGUAGCUCAUUCAGCCAAGAGAAUGAACAUCUACAAGCGUAAGACUGACUGGAUGAGGAGAGGAUGCUUUGUCAGGAUGGAAACAAAUCCCUCUGAGGAACCGGAAGCAGGGAGGAGGACCGACGGAUGAACCGAUGACUCUGCUUGUAGGGCUACCCAUUUCUAAUUCCUAAGAAAGCGGAGCCUAGUGUACAUGGAUGACAGUGGCUGGAUGAAGAAGCUCAUGGUUGAGGAUGACCUUGCCCUCCCGACACCACUUCAGCUGAAACUAAGGAGCCGUAAGCAGGGAGGAGGACCAACAGAUGAACGGAUGACCUGCUUGUCGGGCUUCCCAUUUCUGAUUUUUGAAAAAAUGGAGCCAUAUACAUGGAUGACAGUGGUUGGAUGAAGAAGCUUCUGGUUGAGGAUGACCUUGCCCCCACCCCACUUCAGCUGGAAUUAAGGAGCCGGAAGCAGGGAGGAGGACCAACAGAUGAACUGAUGACCUGCUUGUCGGGCUUCCCAUUUCUGAUUUUGAAAAAAUGGAGCCUGUUAUACAUGGAUGAGAGUGGAUGGAUGAAGAAGCUUCUGGUUGAGGAUGAUCUUGCUAUUCCUGCCCCACUUCAGCUGGAACUAAGGAGCUGGAAGCAGGGAGGAGGACCAACAGAUGAGUGUUGACUCUGCUUAAUGAACUUGCCAUUUGAGAAUUUGUGAGGUGGAUUUACUAAAAAAUAAUGAUUUAACAAAUUGAUGUAAAAAGGAGGGCAAUGCCUGGAGCAAUGCCUUAACAGCUACAAUCCUGAAACCAAAGUGCAAGAUUUUCAAAAGGACUGUUCUUAUGGAUAAGGAAACACAACUUACACAAGAAAAUAUCAAAAUAAAUGAAGGUCUGUUUUACUUUGUUGCCAGCCAAACAGGAAUUGUUACUAAUGUGACCUAGUUUGCCUAGGCCGAGAAGUGUUUUUUUCCCCUAUAUUUCAGGAUGGAGAUUGUCACAGGGAACAUCUCAAGCCAUUACUUCAGGAGAAUGAAAGAUAUCUGGCAACCGGAAUCAGGGACCAACAGAUGACUGACGAGCCUGCUUGCUGAUCAUGUCAUUUCUGAUACGUGAGAAGAUGAUGACCACCAAGCCUAGAUGAGACUGGCUAGAUGAGCAAGAGGAUGUUUCAUCCUGAUGAGGAUAACACCACUCCAUCACUGAUGAAACGGAAGAUCUGGAGGAGAUGAAGACCAUACAUGCAGUGGAUGAGGAAGAGGCUGUAGCUGGAUCAGGAUAAUCCUCAACGCCUGUCUCUGAUGAACCUGAGGAACUGGAGACAGGGAGAACACUGAUUUCUGAGAUUCGCCAAGAUGUAGCCACCAACGACAGCAGAUACAGAGAUGGAUUGCCAGCUGCUGCUUGUCUACCCCCUUCCCUUUGACCACAGGAUGAAAAAUAUAUUAAAAAUCCCCUCAAAACUUUGGAACUUGUUGAUAAACUUUUGAACUAAGCUAUAAUCAGAGAUGCCACUUUUCAGGUUUUAACCUGAAUUCAGUUAUUUUUUUCAAAAAAUGUGACAAAUUAAAAGUGCUGGAUUUAGCAUGAAACAUCUAGAAAACACAUUUUUGAAAGGGGGGGUUAAGGGUAGUUUUAGGUUUUUCAGUAGUGUUUCAGGCUUUUUAUUGAUGUACUGGUGGCAUCUCUGGCUAUAAUGCUUUCAAAAAUAAAUUGAUAUGCCCAAAAAGCAAUCUUGGACCAAAAUCACUGAUCGUUUACGAAACUAAUAAAACCUGAAAACUCAUAUAUACAUUACAAUUUGGCGAAAAGUUUUCUAAAUGAUUGAAAUAAUUAUGUAACACAAUUAUUUAAUUGUUAAAAUGAUUUUAAUUAUUCAUGAUAAAUACAACUUCUGUGAAAGUUAUAGCAGUACCACUCUCAGGCUCAACCCAAUUUAACAAUAUAGAUAUUCAAGUUUACAAAUAUUUUGCAGUUUUCCCUUUAAAAAAGUUAUUUUUGUGUCUAAUUGAGGAGGCAGUUUCAAAAUUCAUGAAAAUUUGGAAUUACUGAGCAAUGUUUAUAAUAUACAUGUAUAGCUAUAUAAAACAUGCUGUACAAAAUGUCAGCUAUACAAAUGUUUAGGGUUAGAGGACCCCCCCCCCCAAAAAAAAGAUACAGCCCACCUCAAACACUUACAAAAGGGUACUCACUUUUCACAAAUAUAAAUAAAAUUUUAACCUAAAUUGGAGCGUUCUUUUCAAUCAACAGGCAUCUAGACAUUGAAAUUACACUGUGCUUAUCUUUUUGCAACAUUUGUUUGCACGAAUUUGACUCGUUUUUAGUUUGAUUUAUUUU